AUACGGAGGGGGUUAGCGUUGUUCGGAAUUACGGGGCGUAAAGCGCACGUAGGCGGAUUGGAAAGUUGGGGGUGAAAUCCCAGGGCUCAACCCUGGAACUGCCUCCAAAACUAACAGUCUAGAGUUCGAGAGAGGUGAGUGGAAUUCCAAGUGUAGAGGUGAAAUUCGUAGAUAUUUGGAGGAACACCAGUGGCGAAGGCGGCUCACUGGCUCGAUACUGACGCUGAGGUGCGAAAGCGUGGGGAGCAAACAGGAUUAGAAACCCUAGUAGUCC
rnacentral:rRNA from 1 species